CGGCGGGCCCGCCUUAACUGGCCGCCGGGGGGCUCACGCCCCCGGGCCCGCGCCCGCCGAAGACACCCUCGAACUCUGUCUGAAGAUUGUAGUCUGAGUGAAAAUAUAAAUUAUUUAAAACUUUCAACAACGGAUCUCUUGGUUCCGGCAUCGAUGAAGAACGCAGCGAAAUGCGAUACGUAAUGUGAAUUGCAAAUUCAGUGAAUCAUCGAGUCUUUGAACGCACAUUGCGCCCCCUGGUAUUCCGGGGGGCAUGCCUGUCCGAGCGUCAUUGCUGCCCUCAAGCACGGCUUGUGUGUUGGGCCCCGUCCUCCGAUUCCGGGGGACGGGCCCGAAAGGCAGCGGCGGCACCGCGUCCGGUCCUCGAGCGUAUGGGGCUUUGUCACCCGCUCUGUAGGCCCGGCCGGCGCUUGCCGAUCAACCCAAAUUUUUAUCCAGGUUGACCUCGGAUCAGGUAGGGAUACCCGCU
rnacentral:rRNA from 1 species